rnacentral:sRNA from 1 species
UUUUAGCCCUGAUGGAAACGGAAAGCCCGGAGCGAAAAAGCUUGUUUUUCUUGUCCUGAAAAAGCGACCAGCGGAAGCUCUUUUCAGGACAUAGAAAAACAGCUUUUGUAGUGAGGACUUGCAGUGUACAGCAGGAAAUAGC